CUUAAUGAUUUUGAGGGGCAACAUUUAUUUACAUUUACUUUUCCAGUCACUGAUGAUUCUCCCUCAAAGUUUGGUAAAGAUACAUUUGGUAGCCUUUCCUGUAACUUAUUCUUAGUGUCUAAAGUCUUUAUUGUGGUGAUACUAGGAUGAUGGGCUAAAUUAUUCUUAGUGUCUAAAGUCUUUAUUGUGAUGAUACCCGGAUCAUGGACUAACUUAUUCUUAAUGUCUGAAGUCUUUAGUGCAGUGAUACCAGGAUCACUGGCUAACUUAUUCUUAGUGUCUAAACGCUUUAUUGUGAUGAUAUCAAGAUUAUGGGGCCAGGUUUUAUUAGCAGGGCUUGCAGUUUUUGAAUGUGUUGGGUAAGGAGGAUCUUGGUCUUCAUACUCUAUAACCUCGGCACUUAAAAUAUUUCUACAUUUGAACAUAUCUUGGUCUUUCCUUUUUCUGACUGACAUUUUGUUGUUUAUAUUCCUUAGAAAAGGAUCAAAACCAUUCUUGAUGUUGAAUUUCUGGAACUGUAAUAUUAAAAAAAAAAAGGUCUGACUACCACCCUUAAGAAAAAUAUUUAAGGUCUUAAGAUUGAGAGAAGCCACGCUCAAGAAGCUUCAUCUACCUGGAUCUGAUUUAGAUGAUGAAAUUCUGUACUUAAGCUUGAGCCUAAUGCAGUAAUGGCAUGAAACUAAGAAUUUUGGAAGCAGAGUAAGUGUAUUUUGCUUUUGGGAGAGAAAUUACUUGCAGCUAGAGAUGGUUAAUCUGUGGAUGACCCCCAAUGAACAACACCUUCCAAAAUUCAUGCUCUUAUGUAGUCCCCUCCCAUAUUGGGUCAGGGCUGAGCCUGUGACCUACUUUAACUAACAGAAUGGAGUGAAAGUGACCCUAUGCUAGUACAAAGCCUAAGUCUUAAGAGUACCUGAAGCUUCUGUUUUUGUAUAUUGGAAGCCCUGAGCUGCCACAUAAAAAGUUCAGUUGCCCUGCUAGAAAGACCACAUAGAGAGACCAUAUGAAGAGUUUGCAUGGACAGGGGGGAGGAAUAAUCCCUAAGAUUACAGAGAGAGAAACUGAGACAGAGAGAGAGAGAGAGAAGUUGAGAGAGAGGGAGAGAAACAGGCACAUCAAACCAGAUGUCCAUGCAUCCCAAUUGAGCCCAGACCUACGGCUGUUUCCAUCAGGGUAUAAAACACAUUAAGUGAGCCAUAAUGAGUGUUCCAGCCCAGUCAAGCUCCUAGAUGACUACAGGACCAGCCAACAUCAAGUGGAGCAAAACAACUACCUACCUAAGCGAAGUCAACCCAUAGAAUCUUGAGAAAUAAUAAAAUGGCUAUUUUAAGCACUAAAUUUUGGAGUGGUUUGUUAUGGAGCAAUAAAUAAUUCACUUAUGAAAUGAAAA